rnacentral:tRNA from 1 species
UCCCUGGUGGUUCAGUGGUUAGGACUCCAAGCUUACACUUUAGGGGCACAGAUUUGACCCCUGGUCAGGGAA